rnacentral:snRNA from 2 species
GCCUACUGGCAUUUGGUCAAUUUGAAACGAUACAGAGAAGAUUAGCAUGGCCGCUGCACUAAGGAUGACACGCUCAAUCAAAGAGAAGUUACCAAUUUUU